UAAAAUAAAGCUGAGUGAUCAGAUUCAUUCUGUCCCUAUGUACUAUCUAGCGAAACCGCAGCCAAGCGAACGGGCUGGGAAUAAUUAGCGGGGAAAGAAGACCCUUUUGAGCUUGACUCUAAUCUGGCAGUGUAAGGAGACAUUAGAGGUGUAGCAUAAGUGGGAGAUAUAAGAAUUAGGUUAGGUAUCGACAAUGAAAUACCACUACUUACACAGUUUCCUUUAAUACUUUAUUAAAUGGAACUCGUAUCAUCUGCUCACCCAGAUCAUAAGCUCUCUCUCUCUUUUGUAGGUCAAAGUUUUCGUUUCAGAUUUCUUGAUCAAAGUUUCUAUUCGAUUAUUUCCUCUCGCAAACAAAUUAUACUCCGAUUAAAGCCAUUCAUACAUUCGCCCAUCCGACAUCCUCAUAAGUCCAGAUAGUCGGAUACCAUCC
rnacentral:ncRNA from 1 species